rnacentral:rRNA from 1 species
GGAGUAUGGUCGCAAGGCUGAAACUUAAAGGAAUUCGCGGCCGCGUCGACACGGCSAYGAGUUGUGGGUAGCGGUGAAAUUCCAAACGAACUUGGAGAUAGCUGGUUCUCUCCGAAAUAGCUUUAGGGCUAGCCUCGUGGAGAGGAUAAUGGAGGUAGAGCUCUGUUUGGACUAGGGGCCCGUCAGGGGUUACUGAAUCCAGAUAAACUGCGAAUUCCAGAUAUCCAUACACGGGAGUCAGACUGCGAGUGAUAAGAUCCGUAGUCGAAAGGGAAACAGCCCAGAUCACCAGUUAAGGUCCCCAAAUCUAUGCUAAGUGGAAAAGGAUGUGGAGUUGCGUAGACAACUAGGACGUUGGCUCAGAAGCAGCCAUCAUUCAAAGAGUGCGUAAUAGCUCACUAGUCGAA